GGCUUCAAUUUCAUUCCUAAAUCUUUUUUUUUUAAAUCCUAGGUUCCCAGAAUGAAUCUUCUUGAAGGAGACAGUCAUGCAGAUGUGCAAUAAAUGUCUUCGUUAAGUUUGAAAGGCUAUUCCAAGAAUAAACGAGGCAGCGUCUAGUGCUGGAGAAGCAGUGAAUAUAGAACAAGACAGGAGAAAGUGCAUUUUCCAAGCCUUUUUCACAAAAGUUUUCCUUCAGUCUCCUCAGCUGGUGUCAGGCACAGAAGGCUGAAGAUUAGCUAUUGAACCUCUUCUCCACCAUUUUCUCCUUCCCUGGGUAUGAACUACACCAGAUAAAAAGGGGAUGAACCACUGCAGAUGGAAGAUUGGACUUUCUCUGAGAUUCUUCCAGGAAGGAGCUCUCCUGCAAUUUUCCCAGGACACCACUAUUACACUGGAUAGUAUGCUGGACCUGGAGGCAGGAAGACACUUUCUCUAUUUACCUUAAUCCACCGGAGAAGGAAAUGCCAACCCAUUCCAGUGUCUUUGCUAAGAAAACCCCAUGGACGGCAUUGACAUGUGAGGGUUCAAGGAGUCAUGAGGACUCAGACCCGACUGAACAACAACAUCCCUACAGUUACUCAGUUUCACAAGCUUGGUGAAGUCAGUCUUGACUCCUUACUCUCAU